rnacentral:rRNA from 1 species
GACGAACGCUGGCGGCGUGCUUAACACAUGCGAGUCGAACGGAAAGGCCUGCUUUCCCUUGUGGAUUGCGGGUACUCGAGUGGCGAACGGGUGAGUAACACGUGAGUGAUCUGCCCCCAACUUGGGUAUAAGCCUGGGAAACUGGGUCUAAUUCCCGAUAGGACUGCAGGGUGGUGCCUGUGGUGGAAAACGAUUUUCUAGUGGUUGGGGAUGAGCUCGCGGCCUAUCAGCUUGUUGGUGGGGUAAUGGCCUACCAAGGCGGCGACGGGUAGCCGGCCUGAGAGGGUGGACGGCCACAUUGGGACUGAGGUACGGCCCAGACUCCUACGGGAGGCAGCAGUGGGGAAUAUUGCACAAUGGGCGGAAGCCUGAUGCAGCGACGCCGCGGGGGGGAUGACGGCCUUCGGGUUGUAAACUCCUUUCGACCGCGAGGAAGCCACCUGGUUGGAAGGGUGGUGACGGUAGUGGUAGAAGAAGCACCGGCUAACUACGUG